rnacentral:rRNA from 1 species
CCGGAGAAUGUUAUCACGGGAGACACACGGCGGGUGCUAACGUCCGUCGUGAAGAGGGAAACAACCCAGACCGCCAGCUAAGGUCCCAAAGUCAUGGUUAAGUGGGAAACGAUGUGGGAAGGCCCAGACAGCCAGGAUGUUGGCUUAGAAGCAGCCAUCAUUUAAAGAAAGCGUAAUAGCUCACUGGUCGAGUCGGCCUGCGCGGAAGAUGUAACGGGGCUAAACCAUGCACCGAAGCUGCGGCAGCGACGCUUAUGCGUUGUUGGGUAGGGGAGCGUUCUGUAAGCCUGCGAAGGUGUGCUGUGAGGCAUGCUGGAGGUAUCAGAAGUGCGAAUGCUGACAUAAGUAACGAUAAAGCGGGUGAAAAGCCCGCUCGCCGGAAGACCAAGGGUUCCUGUCCAACGUUAAUCGGGGCAGGGUGAGUCGACCCCUAAGGCGAGGCCGAAAGGCGUAGUCGAUGGGAAACAGGUUAAUAUUCCUGUACUUGGUGUUACUGCGAAGGGGGGACGGAGAAGGCUAUGUUGGCCGGGCGACGGUUGUCCCGGUUUAAGCGUGUAGGCUGGUUUUCCAGGCAAAUCCGGAAAAUCAAGGCUGAGGCGUGAUGACGAGGCACUACGGUGCUGAAGCAACAAAUGCCCUGCUUCCAGGAAAAGCCUCUAAGCAUCAGGUAACAUCAAAUCGUACCCCAAACCGACACAGGUGGUCAGGUAGAGAAUACCAAGGCGCUUGAGAGAACUCGGGUGAAGGAACUAGGCAAAAUGGUGCCGUAACUUCGGGAGAAGGCACGCUGAUAUGUAGGUGAAGUCCCUUGCGGAUGGAGCUGAAAUCAGUCGAAGAUACCAGCUGGCUGCAACUGUUUAUUAAAAACACAGCACUGUGCAAACACGAAAGUGGACGUAUACGGUGUGACGCCUGCCCGGUGCCGGAAGGUUAAUUGAUGGGGUCAGCGCAAGCGAAGCUCUUGAUCGAAGCCCCGGUAAACGGCGGCCGUAACUAUAACGGUCCUAAGGUAGCGAAAUUCCUUGUCGGGUAAGUUCCGACCUGCACGAAUGGCGUAAUGAUGGCCAGGCUGUCUCCACCCGAGACUCAGUGAAAUUGAACUCGCUGUGAAGAUGCAGUGUACCCGCGGCAAGACGGAAAGACCCCGUGAACCUUUACUAUAGCUUGACACUGAACAUUGAGCCUUGAUGUGUAGGAUAGGUGGGAGGCUUUGAAGUGUGGACGCCAGUCUGCAUGGAGCCGGCCUUGAAAUACCACCCUUUAAUGUUUGAUGUUCUAACGUGGACCCGUGAUCCGGGUUGCGGACAGUGUCUGGUGGGUAGUUUGACUGGGGCGGUCUCCUCCUAAAGAGUAACGGAGGAGCACGAAGGUUGGCUAAUCCUGGUCGGACAUCAGGAGGUUAGUGCAAUGGCAUAAGCCAGCUUGACUGCGAGCGUGACGGCGCGAGCAGGUGCGAAAGCAGGUCAUAGUGAUCCGGUGGUUCUGAAUGGAAGGGCCAUCGCUCAACGGAUAAAAGGUACUCCGGGGAUAACAGGCUGAUACCGCCCAAGAGUUCAUAUCGACGGCGGUGUUUGGCACCUCGAUGUCGGCUCAUCACAUCCUGGGGCUGAAGUAGGUCCCAAGGGUAUGGCUGUUCGCCAUUUAAAGUGGUACGCGAGCUGGGUUUAGAACGUCGUGAGACAGUUCGGUCCCUAUCUGCCGUGGGCGCUGGAGAACUGAGGGGGGCUGCUCCUAGUACGAGAGGACCGGAGUGGACGCAUCACUGGUGUUCGGGUUGUCAUGCCAAUGGCACUGCCCGGUAGCUAAAUGCGGAAGAGAUAAGUGCUGAAAGCAUCUAAGCACGAAACUUGCCCCGAGAUGAGUUCUCCCUGACCCUUUAAGGGUCCUGAAGGAACGUUGAAGACGACGACG